rnacentral:rRNA from 1 species
UACGUAGGUGGCAAGCGUUGUCCGGAAUUAUUGGGCGUAAAGCGCGCGCAGGCGGUCCUUUAAGUCUGAUGUGAAAUCCCACGGCUCAACCGUGGAAGGUCAUUGGAAACUGGGGGACUUGAGUACAGAAGAGGAAAGUGGAAUUCCAAGUGUAGCGGUGAAAUGCGUAGAGAUUUGGAGGAACACCAGUGGCGAAGGCGGCUCACUGGCCCGGAACUGACGCUGAGACGCGAAAGCGUGGGGAGCAAACAGG